GACGAACGCUGGCGGCGUGCCUAAUACAUGCAAGUCGAGCGGUUUUCACCUUCGGGUGAGAGUAGCGGCGGACGGGUGAGUAACACGUAGGUAACCUGCCUGUUAGACUGGGAUAACUACCGGAAACGGUAGCUAAGACCGGAUACGUCAAUUGAAGGGCAUCCUUCGAUUGAGAAAAGCGGAGCAAUCUGCUACUAAUA
rnacentral:rRNA from 1 species